rnacentral:rRNA from 1 species
AUUGAACGCUGGCGGCAGGCCUAACACAUGCAAGUCGAGCGGCUGAAGGGAGCUUGCUCCUUGAUUCAGCUGCGGACGGGUGCGUAAGGCCUAAGCAUCUGCCUGGUUGUGGUGGCUAACGUCCGGAACCGGGCGCUAAUACCGCAUACAUCCUGAGCGCGUAGGUGGGGGAUCUUCGGCCCUCACGCUAUAAAAUCAGCCUAGGUCGGAUUAGCUUGUCGUUGGGGUAAUGGCCUACCAAGGCCACGAUACGGCACGGGUCUGAGAGGAUGAUCAGUAACACUGGAACUGAGACAAGGUCCAGACUCCUACGGGAGGCAGCAGAGGAGAAUAUUGGACUAUGGGAGAAAGCAUGACCCAGCCCUGCCGAGUGUGUGAAAAAGGGCUUCGGAUUGUGAAGGUCUUUAAGUUGGGAGGAAGGACAGUAAGUUAAACGCGUGGCGUCUUGAAGGUACCAAAUGAAUAAGCACCGGCUAACUUCGUG